rnacentral:misc_RNA from 1 species
GAAUGACAGGUAGCUUCAAUAGAAGUGGAUGCAAGAAUGAUCCUUCCCUUCUAUAAGCUACCUUUUUUGUUUCCAUCCGCUUGUUUGUAAUUACCACGUUGUGUUACGUGAAAGUUUUUUUAGGAGGUUUAUUUACAUGCAAACUGGUGUCGUAAAAUGGUUUAAUGCAGAAAAAGGGUAUGGUUUUAUUCAACUAGAAGAGGGUAAUGAUGUAUUUGUACAUUACUCUGCAAUCCAACAAGAAGGAUUUAAAACAUUAGAAGAAGGUCAAACAGUUACUUUUGAAAUUGUUGAAGGUGAACGUGGACCUCAAGCUGCUAACGUAGAAAAACAAUAAUACAUUUAUUAGCGGUGAUCACUUCAGAUGAUCAUCGCUUU